CCUAGCAGCCAUACCACCCUGAACGCGCCCGAUCUCGUCUGAUCUCGGAAGCUAAGCAGGGUCGGGCCUGGUUAGUACUUGGAUGGGAGACCUAUUUAUAGGUUUUAAGCAUUAGAA
rnacentral:rRNA from 1 species